rnacentral:tRNA from 1 species
GGUGAUAUAGCCUGGUGGUAGAGCACUUUCCUGGCAUGUACAAGACCCUGGGUUCAAUCCCCAGUUCACUG